rnacentral:rRNA from 1 species
AGAGUUUGAUCAUGGCUCAGGACGAACGCUGGCGGCGUGCUUAACACAUGCAAGUGGAGCGACGAACCAGGCUUCGGUCUGGGGCAGAGCCGCGAACGGGUGAGUAACACGUGGGUAGCGUGCCCCGAUGAUCGGGACAACCCGGGGAAACCCGGGCUAAUACCGAAUGUGCUGUCCCCACACCAGUGGGGAUUGGAAAGGAAGCUUCGGCCUCCGCAUCGGGAUCGGCCCGCGGCCCAUUAGCUUGUUGGUGAGGUAACGGCUCACCAAGGCUGCGAUGGGUAGCUGGUCUGAGAGGACGAUCAGCCACACUGGGACUGAGACACGGCCCAGACUCCUACGGGAGGCAGCAGUAGGGAAUCUUCCGCAAUGGACGAAAGUCUGACGGAGCAACGCCGCGUGAGUGAUGAAGGCCUUCGGGUCGUAAAACUCUGUUGUUAGGGAAGAACAAGUACCGUUCGAAUAGGGCGGUACCGUGACGGUACCUAACCAGAAAGCCACGGCUAACUACGUGCCAGCAGCGGCGGUAAUUC